CCUGCCUCAAGAGGCACUGAAGGUUUGGCUGCUGUGUUACAUGUAUAUCAGUAGGUGGCAAAUAGGAGAGAGUUCAGAAAAUUGAACAUAAUACUACCUGAGGACCUAUUAAUAUCACUCCUGGCAUACAUC
rnacentral:snoRNA from 1 species